rnacentral:rRNA from 1 species
GACAGAGGGUGCAAACGUUGUUCGGAAUUACUGGGCGUAAAGCGUGUGUAGGCGGCCAUGUAAGUCGGAUGUGAAAGCCCCAGGCUCAACCUGGGAAGUGCACUCGAUACUGCGUGGCUUGAGUAUCGGAGAGGUUGGUGGAAUUCUCGGUGUAGAGGUGAAAUUCGUAGAUAUCGGGAGGAACACCGGUGGCGAAGGCGGUUCUCUGGGCCUGUACUGACGCUGAGGAGCGAAAGCGUGGGGAGCGAACAGG